ACCAAACAACAAGAAGGAUUCUCUGGAGGUUCCUCUGGCAUAGAGCUGAAGAGCUCCUUCCCUGGCCCGACAACAGCUGCAUCACUUGAGCAUAAACCUGCAAAUCUAGCUGAAGAAUCAUCCGACGGAUCUAUAACCAUCAAGUUGGUGAGCCAAUCACGCAUCCAGAAAAGCAAUAUGCCUGAUGAGCACAAAUUUUCAGCAGAAGGGUUAUAUGAAGAACCUGUAAGGAUCAAGUCUGAUGCAUCAAACACCCAGAAGGGUAUUGUGUCUGCUGAGCAUACGCCUGUCGCACAGGUAGAAGAACCUUAUGUGGAAUGUGGCAGCACAAAGCUUGUGGUUUCAUUGCCAACUAGCAUUCUAGCAGAAGAAUCAUCAGAAGAGCCUGAAAUCAUAACGUUGUCUUUCCAGGAAGGCAUUGCAGCUGAAGAGCAUGUACCAACCGAACAAGCAGAAGGAUCAUCCAUUCAGAAAAGCAUUAUUUCUGCUGAGUAUACAUCAGCUGAUCAGGCAGAAGGAUUAUCUGAGGAACAAAACCAGGUGAACACUUUGAAUGCAGGGGAUAGGAAAAAGAGAGAGGUGAGUAAGCAGAGGACUUCACAAAAGAAGGCUGAGAUCUCUGUUAGAGCUAAAGUCAUCAAGCAGAAAACAAGUGAUGCAUCUAUGGAGAAGAAGAGUUCAUCACCUAUCAUGAAAACCAUCACAUCUGUGAAGCCAACAAGUACCGGGCAGAAGAUUCCAUCAUCUGUUAAUAAGGCUAUUGCACCUUUGGCAUGCUGUAUU
rnacentral:lncRNA from 1 species